rnacentral:rRNA from 1 species
UACGUAGGGGGCUAGCGUUAUCCGGAUUUAUUGGGUUUAAAGGGUGCGUAGGCUGUGAGGUAAGUCAGCGGUGAAAUGCCCCCGCUCAACGGGGUGAAGUGCCAUUGAUACUGCCUUGCUGGAAUGCGGAUGCCGUGGGAGGAAUGUGUGGUGUAGCGGUGAAAUGCAUAGAUAUCACACAGAACACCGAUUGCGAAGGCAUCUCACGAAUCCGCGAUUGACGCUGAUGCACGAAAGCGUGGGUAUCAAACAGG